UCGAAUAAACUUGAACAGGUUGUUGCUGGCCUUCUGGGGCAUGUGCACACUUGUCCAUCUUUAUCAUUUCUCCAACUUGUGCACUUUUUAUCCAUAGACCUUUAGAUUUGGGGACUGCUGUGCUUUAUCAGUCGGCUUUCCCUUUUAUUUUUUUAAUGUCUAUAUGCUUUUCACAAUCUCAUAAAUGUUGAAUGUAUAUGGAAAUAAAAAUGUUAUA
rnacentral:misc_RNA from 1 species